AUGAUGCAGCGCAACGCGCGGAGCAUCCCUCCCGCCGAGAGCGCCGCCUGUUGCAGCUCCGGCCCUUCGCAGGGAGAUGACUCUGUAUCUGGGCCACAGUACCAUAGCGAUGAUCAAGUUGAGGUUCAAAGCCCUUACACUGAAGAGAUAGCUUUUCGUCCCUCAAACCAUGCUGGGAGUCCCAGUCAACCGUGGCCUAUCAGUUUGCAGGAUAACAUGGGUCCUGUCAGAGAAAUUGUUUGUAUAGAACCAAACGUGGCCACGAUGGCAGCUAAUACUCCAUCUGGUCGGGCCUCCUUGCAAAUCCAGGAUGACAUUCAGAUUAAUGAUCCUAUCCGAGCAAUGACUCCUACUCUGAUGCCGGCAACAACCCGGCCCAGGAUGGCAGCCGAUAACCCAUCCUCAAUGACACCUGCUAUGAUGCCAGUUCCAACCCUGCCAUGGAUGGCAGGCGAGAACCCGCGCGCUUGGAUCCCGCUCCUGAACCUGGACUAUGCUCCUACUCCUGAUGUUAUGAUGCAGGGGGGUAGCCCUGGCCAUUGCGUGUCCAUUGGGCUGCAUAAUGAUAUGAGGAUUGAAAGCCCCAUACCAAAUGCCAUUCAUACACCUCCGAGAAGUGUUUCCACACCAAGCCCUGUGCGGGAUCUUUCAAGACCUGUUCAGCGAAUGGUUCUUCCGUCAGGAAGCCCACAUAGCCCAGCAUGGGCAAUGGCGCCAAGUUGUGCAACCUAUCAUGCCACAGAAAAUGCAUUGAGGGAGAAAGCAAGUCCUCAAAUGCAAGCACUGGAGGAAUUGGAGUUCAUGAAGAGAUUUAUGAUUUGUGCAUACCUUCGUCAGAAGAGGAUAGAAGAUGAACUAUCUGUGGACUAUAUUAGAUCCUUGAAGCACCUUUCCAUAGUUCAGUUUGAGUCAGAAAUCUGGAGAGCAUUUGGUUGCAAAUAUAUAAAAUUUUCAGAUAGAGUGAAGAACCUUGAUUCCGACCCAGGUGCAACAAGAGUCUACCAUUGUAUUGUAGAGAUAACAGGGGACUCUGUAGUGAAAGUAUUCAAGGGACCAUAUGUACAAAAUACACGGACUCAUUUGCAAAAAAAUGUUGGUGAUGAUAACGUCCUCUUGGUAAAGUUUAUGGGGCCAUCUUCAGAGUCUGUGAUUGAUUUUCUACCUUACCAUAAGGUUGCUGAAGAUGGUAUUAUUCUGGGUUUACGCCGCUACCGUUUUUUUGUUUACAAGGAUGGAGGAAAAGAUGAGAAAAAGAAAGAAGAGAAAAUAAAUUGGGAAAACAAGAACUGCGCUUCAGGCGUGAAAUGCUACUUUGUUCGCACAGAGUCUGGAUGGAAUAUGGAUGAACCUUACAUACUCUCUGGCAAGACAAUCAAUCAGGCUCGCAAACUAUUCAUGCACAUACAUACUGCUCCCACCUUGGCGAAAUACAUGGCCAGGUUUGCUUUGAUACUAUCGAAAACUAUCACAAUGGAGGUUGAUUUAUCAGCGCUUCAUGUUAUACAGCUUGAUGAUAAACCUUGCAGCGCUGAAAAUGGGGGCAUUGUUCAACGAGAUGGGGAACUCCUGAUCCAUACUGAUGGAACUGGCCUAAUAUCUGAAGAUUUGGCUGAGAAAUGCCCAACAAUUAUGUACAAGGGAAAACUUUUGAAGUCACAAGAUGUUCAGGCUUGUGAUGAUACACUUACGACGUCCCCCCGUGCGAAGAAACAACGGCUUAUUGCCAGUAAACCUCCUCUUCUUAUUCAGUUCCGGAUGUUCUAUAAAGGAUCAGCUGUUAAGGGAACUGCAUUAAUUGACAGAAGGCUUCCUCCUGGAACUAUUCUUAUACGGCCAUCAAUGAUAAAAAUAAAAUCUGAUCCAAAAUUAUGUGGUGUACAGUCCGUUAACUCUUGGGAAUUGAUAAAAAUGAAAGCUGAUCCAAAAUCAUAUUGUGUCCAGUCCGUCAACUCUUUGGAAAUAGUGACAACGAGCACUAAACCGAAAAGGACAUUAACAUCGAAGCUCUUGAUUGCACUACUUCGCUAUGGAGGAGUUAAAGAAGAGUUCUUUAUGGAGCUUCUAGAGAAUGCAAUUGAAGGGGCUGAGAACGCUCGUUGUGAUUAUGAAGACGCACUAAACAUUGCAUUUAUCUAUGCGGACAUGGAGGAUUCGAUAUCAGCACGAAUGAUUUUAUCUGGAAUUCCACUAGAAGAUGCAUAUUUGCAGUCCAGGCUGGCUAUCAUGGCUCAACAAGAAAGAAAGGGAAUCAAGCAAGGAAAGCUACCAAUCAGUGAUUGCUUUUAUUUGAUGGGUACAACAGAUUCUACAGGGAAACUCAAAGCCAAUGAAGUUUGUGUGAUCCUUGACAAUGGACCAUAUUGUGGAAAUGUGCUUGUCUAUAAACAUCCUGGGUUACACUUUGGUGAUAUACAUGUCUUGACAUCAAGAUAUAUCGAGGAUAUACAUGACGUAGUAGGAUAUUCAAGAUAUGCUAUACUUUUCCCUACCUCUGGCCCACGAUCGUUGGCCGAUGAGAUGGCCAAUAGUGAUUUUGAUGGGGACAUGUAUUGGGUCUCAAUAAAUGAACAGUUAUUAAAGCAGUUCAAGCCUUCUAAACCAUGGGAAUGGGGCCAAGUAAAUAAACCAAUACAGGCCGAGAAAAAGUGUCUUUUGGAUUUAGACGAACCCCUACUCGACAGGAGUUUGUUUCAUGAAUUCUUAAAAGCAAGAUUUGCACGCAGUAAUGCACUUGGCACAGCAGCUGAUAGUUGGUUAGUAUAUAUGGACCGACUGUUAACAGAUGGUGUUGAUGAAGAUGAAAGUAAUGUACUAGAAAAAAAGAUAAAGAAGUUGGUUGAUCUUUAUUAUUUGGCCCUGGACGCUCCAAAGGCCAGGUCCAAGAUCAAUGUCCCUGCUGAGCUGACAGCAAAAAAGUAUCCGCACUACAUGGAUCGAAAGGAAAGCUACCAUUCGACAUCCAUACUAGGAAAAAUUUAUGACGAAGCAGAAAAAAAGCAAUCUGAGAAAGUUGAACCAGUCGAGAUAUCGUUGGACCCGCGUUUCACGGAGAGAGCAGCAUCUUCAGGAUACAAGUACCUGAACCUCUGGACAGGCCGUUAUCACGGAGAGAGCAGCAUCUUCAGGAUACAAGGAAGAAACAGACCUGAAGUCCAAAGAACUCUACCAAAAGUACAAAUACAUGCUCUACGAUGCCGCUGA
rnacentral:rRNA from 1 species